rnacentral:lncRNA from 1 species
AUGAUCUUCUAUUUUAAUGUAUUUAAUGAAGACUGGGACUUAGGUGUUUGCCUGGAAUAUGAGUGUAAAAGAAAACAGCUGUUAAAACCUGUGUUCUUAAAUUCUUGGAUUGAUCUCAGAGCGACUUACAAGCUUUUCUAUAGAAGAAAACCAAAAGGACUAAGUGGUGCCUUGCAGGAAGUGGGAAUAGAAUUCUCUGGACGAGAACAUUCAGGUUUGUCAAAAUUAAAAAUCAUUUUAUCAUGUAAGGCAGUUGACAUUUAUAAAAUCUUUCAUGUGAGUCCCAUCUCUUGGUAAUGCCAU